GAAACGCGAUUGGUGCCGAUGAGGACGCUGGUGAUUCCGCAACACAUAGGCAGAGAAGGGAGCCGAGCUGCAACUUAACCACAUGUUUAAAUCAUCUAUUUGGACAGAUUAUUCCGGGGAUUCGCCGUUUUAAAAGAAGGGGACGACGUUUACGACACCCAUUCGAGAUCGCGGGCGUUGAUAUGAAUUUUUCGCUCGAGGUCUCACGAGAAAGGUAGCGGAGCACAGCCGGCGAAUUCAAGCGGAGCCGAAAGGAACAGUUAGCUAGCUUUAGCCUGUUAGCUCACCCCUUUAGCCGCUAAUACGUCCACUCUCGCCGUACACCUGCGCGCCGCGCUGCCCCCGUGUUAUCGCUGCUAAGCCGGUAACAGCCAGCACCGUGGGCUUCAGCUCUGACAUUUUCCCCAGCAUUUUUUUUUCGUUUUUAAAUCCCUCGUUGACACCAGAGGAGGACCUGGUGAGAGGACCGUGACAGGUUGAGGUUGGGACCAGCGAAACCAAGCGGUGUCCUCAAGUGGCCGUUAACCAUGGACAACGCACACACAAAGACGGUGGAAGAAGUUUACAGCUUUUUUAACGUGAACGAAAGCACGGGUCUGAGCUUGGAGGAAGUGAAGAAGCAACGGGAACGAUAUGGACCAAACGAACUGCCAGCUGAGGAGGGUAAAUCCCUUUGGGAACUGGUUGUUGAACAGUUUGAAGAUUUGCUUGUGAGGAUCCUUUUACUCGCUGCCUGCAUAUCCUUUGUGCUGGCCUGGUUUGAAGAGGGAGAAGAAACCGUUACAGCCUUUGUGGAACCUUUUGUUAUCCUACUUAUUCUCAUAGCAAAUGCCAUUGUAGGAGUUUGGCAGGAGCGUAAUGCAGAAAAUGCCAUUGAAGCGCUUAAGGAGUAUGAGCCAGAGAUGGGAAAAGUGUACCGCCAGGACAGGAAGAGUGUCCAGAGAAUCAAGGCCAGAGACAUUGUGCCAGGAGACAUUGUGGAGGUGGCAGUUGGUGAUAAAGUGCCUGCAGACAUCAGGCUGUCUUCUAUCAAGUCAACCACACUGAGGGUAGACCAGUCUAUUCUUACAGGGGAGUCUGUGUCUGUGAUCAAACACACAGACCCGGUGCCUGAUCCUCGUGCUGUCAACCAGGACAAAAAGAACAUGCUGUUUUCUGGUACCAACAUUGCAGCUGGUAAGGCCAUCGGCGUGGUGGUGGCCACAGCUGGCAACACAGAGAUUGGCAAAAUCAGAGAUGAGAUGGCAUCGACAGAGCAGGAGCGCACACCACUGCAGCAGAAACUGGACGAGUUCGGGCAGCAGCUAUCCAAGGUCAUUUCACUGAUCUGCAUUGCUGUGUGGAUCAUCAACAUUGGACAUUUCAAUGAUCCUGUCCAUGGAGGUUCCUGGAUCCGAGGCGCCGUCUAUUACUUCAAGAUUGCUGUGGCUCUGGCAGUUGCUGCAAUUCCUGAGGGGCUGCCGGCUGUCAUCACUACCUGCCUGGCUUUAGGAACGCGGCGCAUGGCCAAGAAGAACGCAAUUGUCCGCAGUUUGCCCUCUGUGGAGACCCUUGGGUGUACAUCUGUCAUCUGCUCUGACAAAACUGGCACGCUGACCACUAAUCAGAUGUCUGUGUGCAGGAUGUUUAUCAUUGAUCGGGCAGAGGGAGAUCACUGCUCAUUAAAGGAAUUCACUGUUACUGGCUCCACAUAUGCCCCAGAUGGAGAAGUGUUCCAUGAUGGCAAAACUGUCAGAUGUUCCCAGUAUGAUGCCUUGGUGGAGCUGGCCUCUAUCUGUGCUCUCUGUAAUGAUUCCUCACUGGACUACAAUGAGACCAAAGGUGUGUACGAGAAGGUGGGCGAGGCCACAGAGACGGCUCUCACAUGCCUGGUGGAGAAGAUGAAUGUGUUUGAUACAGAUGUUAAAGGCCUGUCCAAGAUCGAGCGAGCCAAUGCCUGCAACUCUGUCAUCAAGCAGCUGAUGAAGAAAGAGUUUACCUUGGAAUUUUCCAGAGACAGGAAAUCUAUGUCUGUGUACUGCAUUCCUAAUAAAGUACGCUCCUCUGUUGGCAAGAUGUUUGUAAAGGGUGCCCCUGAAGGAGUGAUUGACAGGUGUACACACAUCCGUGUCGGCAGCAACAAGGUGCCCUUGACUCCUGGCAUCAAGGAAAAGCUGAUGUCUGUUAUCAGAGAAUACGGAACCGGCAGAGACACCCUGCGCUGUUUGGCUUUGGCCACCCGAGAUAACCCCUUGAGCAAAGAUGAUCUGGUGUUGGAGGACUCGUCUCGCUUUAUUGAGUACGAGACUGAUCUGACAUUUGUGGGCUGUGUGGGAAUGCUGGAUCCUCCCAGGGCAGAGGUGGCAGCCUCUAUUAGGCUCUGCCGUCUUGCAGGCAUCCGAGUAAUUAUGAUCACUGGAGACAACAAGGGGACGGCAGUGGCUAUUUGCAGACGUAUUGGCAUCUUUGGAGAAGACGAUGACGUUUCCAGCAUGGCAUUCACUGGCAGAGAAUUUGAUGAUCUGUCACCUGCUGCACAACGAGAUGCUGUGGUCAAAGCUCGCUGCUUUGCUCGUGUUGAGCCUUCUCAUAAAUCCAAGAUUGUCGAGUAUCUGCAGUCCUAUGAUGAGAUUACAGCUAUGACUGGUGAUGGAGUAAAUGACGCCCCUGCGCUCAAAAAGGCUGAGAUUGGCAUUGCUAUGGGCUCAGGAACAGCUGUGGCCAAAACCGCCUCUGAGAUGGUGUUGGCUGAUGACAACUUUUCCACCAUCGUAGCUGCUGUUGAGGAAGGCAGAGCUAUUUAUAACAACAUGAAGCAGUUCAUCAGAUACCUCAUCUCUUCAAAUGUGGGCGAAGUUGUCUGCAUCUUCCUGACUGCAGCUCUGGGGUUCCCUGAAGCUCUCAUCCCAGUUCAGCUGCUUUGGGUCAACCUGGUAACUGACGGUCUGCCUGCCACCGCUUUAGGCUUCAACCCACCAGACCUGGACAUCAUGAACAAGCCGCCACGCAAUGCUCGUGAGCCGCUCAUCUCUGGAUGGCUCUUCUUCAGAUACCUAGCCAUUGGAUGCUAUGUCGGUGCUGCCACUGUGGGUGCUGCUGCUUGGUGGUUUGUUGCUGCUGAGGAUGGGCCAAGGAUCACUUUUUACCAGCUGAGCCAUUUCCUGCAAUGCGGUCCAGAAAAUCCCGACUACCAGGACUUGGACUGUAAGGUGUUUGAGUCUCCUUACCCUAUGACCAUGGCCCUGUCUGUUCUGGUCACCAUUGAGAUGUGCAAUGCCCUUAACAGUGUGUCAGAGAACCAGUCGCUGCUGCGGAUGCCUCCCUGGGAGAAUGUGUGGCUGCUGGGAGCCAUCUGCCUCUCCAUGUCCCUUCACUUCCUCAUUCUCUAUGUGGAGCCUCUUCCAAUCAUCUUCCAGAUCACCCCUCUGAAUCUGACACAGUGGUUAAUGGUGCUCAAGAUCUCACUACCCGUCAUUCUACUGGACGAAAUGCUCAAGUUUGCUGCCAGAAACUACCUGGAGCCUGGUAAAGAAUUGGAGAAGCCCGCCGGCUCCAAAAGCUGCUCCCUGUCUGCAUGUGUGGAGGGCAUCUCCUGGCCGUUCGUGGCCUUUUCCCUCCCCUUGGUCCUCUGGAUCUACAGCACCGACACUAACUUGGCCGACAUGUUCUGGUCCUGACUGACUUGAGCACAACCUCGACUUUUCCAUUCCCCACCCACUGCCAUCACUUUCCUCUUUCCUCUCCUCCUUCCUCUCUCUCUGCCUUCCUAAAUGUGCAUAGCUAGCGUGUGUGCGCGCGUUUGUAGAGUUAGUGUGUGUGCUUGUGCGUGCCUACCGUGUGCGUACGAGAAGGACCAACUUUAACACAUGAAACGUAACAAAUAAUAUAAAAUGUUAACAUUAAGAAGUCACCUGUUUUAAGUUGGGAUAGGAUUUGUGAAUGAGUGAGGCUUUAAAUGUGAGUGUUAGAAGACCAUCACUCCCAUAGCUGUGGACUUUGUUGCUGGUUUGAAAGAAAAUAUACUGUUGCCAUUUUUUUUGUUAAUAUUGCCUUUAAGGUUCAUAUUUUUAACGAUGUUUGGAAUAUAAUUUCUAUGUCACUACAGUAACAGCAUUGUUUUGUUUAGCUUCCCUCUUAAUGAAAAGGAAAUUUAAGAUAUCAGAAAUCAUUGGAUCUGUACAGAGAUUGAACACUAUUUUAUGCAACCGUUUUUUUUUUUGUUUUUUUUUUUAAUGGCUUUGUAAAUUGUUUGACCAGCGUGGCUUAGACAUAUACCGCCUUGAUUUAUUUUCAAAUGUUUACCAUUGUGUCUUCAGUAUAAACUCAGAACUCUUUCAGAGAGGACAAGCUCCAUGGGGCAGACGAGGACGGGGAAAGGUUUGGGACUCGGAGUGAAACGUUUGAAUGCUCAGCUUAAACAAACAAAAGAGAGAAAAAAAAAUAUUCCCGAUAAACAAAAGCCGCAUGUCCUGUGACCAAGCAUGAACUGUACGUGGUUUCUCAUUUCUAAUUUAAUUGUGUAUGUCCCCCAUGUUAGAACGUAAAUUAAUGUUUUUUUUUUACUAUAUUGAUUGAAAACAAGUCAGUUUUUCUGCACUGGGCAGAGCACAGCUACCUCAAUAUGAUAAAAGAAAUUUUUUUGCUCAUCUCUAGAUGCUUUUCCUCAACAGUCUUGCUAAAGCGUAACAUCUGAGGUGUGCCCCUAUUUGCUUGUGCAGAAAACAAAGAACAAAAUCUUCCUUCCCUCUUAACAUUUUUAAGGAUCUAUUUUGUUUGUAUUGAUUUGUGACAUUCAUUAACUUUAUUUGUGUGUUGCUUUGGAGACAGAACUGGGUGGGGAUGCUGUACCAUCUCCAUGGCGUUUGAUUCAAAGGACAGUAACAUUAACAUCUCAAGAAAAAAAAUACUAAUCCACCAAGUACUCCAACUGAACUUGGAUUGCAAAUAAACACCCCAAGAUGUUUUUUACUUCAAGGAAAAUACACUCAUAAACCCUUUGAAUCAAGUGUUUUCUGUCUUUAUUUAAUAUAGUGUGAGGCCCGUGGUUAUCGACCUUAUUCAUAUCCAGUGUUUUUGUAUGUUCAUAUAAUACUUGAAUACAGAUCAUGUCAGACAUAUGAAUGCUUUGGUUUUCUUGGCACAACAUGGCAGGCAGGAGAUAUUCGUGACACGUAUGUGUGUAUAUUUGACUUUUCCAGGCUUUAUCAUUUAGAGGGCUUGGUUAUUGUUGGGUAUACCAUACAUUGUGGUGGUGUAGUUCUUGUCGGAUUAGAGCCUAUACAGUCGACUGCACAGCAUCAUAUUUUGAAUGGAAAUUUUCACGUGUGAGAAAACCCCCCACCCCGUCUAAAAGCAUGUUAUUUGAGUAGAAGCCUGGGUUUGUUUGCACUGUGUGUUUGUGUUCCACCUAACAACUGUGUGCUUUUCUUCCUCAAUGCCUUCCAUUGGCCCCCCUGUCACUAGAGUUGGCUCUCGUGUAGCCUUCGUAUGAUGUAAGAGUGGCCUCAAAAGUUGGAGACGUCCCGCCCUCCAGCUUAUGUCGCUCACUCUGACUUCACACACCUCAAACGCCAUGACAACCAGCAGUACGUACCCUUACAAAGGACAUGUUUCCACGGUUACGACACCAAAUACCUGAGGGUAUAGUUUAAUAAAAAAAAAAAAAAAAAGGGGGGGGGGGGGGGGGGGGCUUAGAGUAGCUCCUUUGUGCUCGCAACACAUGACCACACACACUUCUUAACACACACUUAUACCUCCGUGUGCAGAUGCUAAAUCAGUUUGACACUAUUCCAGUUUUGUGUGCAGGGAAGUUCUCAGCGCCCCUCGACGAUCCCUUCUUGCAUGAAGAACUUACUUCCGACUUCCAUGGUAGCUUGUCACAUAGAGAAUCUUUCAAAACACUGGGUUGAAUGGUCUUAGAUGUACAUCAGUGUACAAAAACAUCCAUGCAUGCGUUCCAGCUGUACGUAGGCUUUGCGAUUUGUAUUUAUAGAUUCUAAUGUAUAAUACUCAAAUGACAUAUUAAGAUGGUUUUAAGAUGGAUUUAUCAUAGAUAUUGGGAAAAUCACCGUUUUUAUUGUAAUGGUUUGGGUAAUUUGCACAAUAUUAGACAUGGAGCAAUGACUCAUGCUGAACUGACUGUGCUCUACUUGAGUUUUUUAUUUAUUUUCUUCCCAUUAGUUAACUACUGUAGGCUGUUCACUGAUCCAUUUACUUUCCUGAAUUAAUCCUUUGCAAUGAGUACAACAGGCUGACACUGAUUCAUUGGUAAUCCUGCAAUACAACAGUGCUCUGUUUUCUUAUUGCCUCUGCAUUAUUAUUAUUAUUAUCAUUAUUAUUAUUAUGUAUCUUUAUCAACUGCUGUAAAACUGUGAUCUAAUGUGAGGAGGCCCGUACAGUCUCCUCAAUGACACCUGGUCGAAGAACAAUAUUAACCAUUAUGUAAAAACAAGAAAAAAAGACGAUCAUUAUUGAAGAGUAAUAAUGAUUGUACAUGCAUUACUGAGGUUGUGGUUUCAGGUAAAUAAAAUAAUAUAGUAUUUGAA